GGGCCCGUAGCUUAGCCUGGCCGGAGCAUCCGGCUGAUAACCGGAAGGUCGUGGGUUCGAAUCCCACCGGGCCCA
rnacentral:tRNA from 1 species